UUCAGCACAUCGUGAGUGGUGCUCUUGAGUCCCUUCAAGUGAUUACUACUUAGAUCUUCCCUGGGACACCUUCUUGAAAGGACCAGCGUGCAUCCACUUUGCUUAGAUAUAAUCCCAGAUCAGUGGAGGUGUUGCAAAGCAGACUUCACUUGUCUCACUAACACUGAGCCGUUGAACAUCAGAUACCCAGAGUGACAUCAGGUUAAAAAAAAGCCUGCAAUUUGGAUCUUUUCCUGACUCGGAAGCAAGGAAAAUGGACAAUUGAUAAUCAAAGCUAAAUCUCUUCUGGGAUCCACUGAAUGCCACUAGAGGGUCUGCUCGAGAGAAUUCCUGAUUGAAUGACAACGGCGCCAAGAACAGUAAGUCAUGGUUGGGAAGCAGUAAGGGAAGAAUGGAGCCCAGAUAUCCUAAAUUAAAAUAUAAAAGGCUAACGUUAUUAGGCGUGUACAUCUAAAUUUCAAAGUAAAAGGCCAACAUCCCACUAUGCCUCCCGAAUCCAGCACAUUCCACCUAACACA
rnacentral:lncRNA from 1 species